UACGAAGGAUGCGAGCGUUAUCCGGAUUUAUUGGGUUUAAAGGGCGCGUAGGCGGUCUUAUAAGUCAGUGGUGAAAUCUCGUUGCUUAACAACGAACGUGCCAUUGAUACUGUAGGACUUGAGUACAGUUGCCGUUGGCGGAAUGUGUCAUGUAGCGGUGAAAUGCAUAGAUAUGACACAGAACACCGAUUGCGAAGGCAGCUGACGAAACUGUAACUGACGCUGAGGCUCGAAAGCGUGGGGAGCGAACAGG
rnacentral:rRNA from 1 species